rnacentral:tRNA from 1 species
GCGGUCGUGGCGGAAUUGGUAGACGCGCAGCGUUGAGGUCGCUGUGGGGUAUCUCCCGUGGAAGUUCGAGUCUUCUCGACCGCACCA